rnacentral:rRNA from 1 species
GGCAAACGGGUGAGUAUAAUGUGGGAAUCUGCCUUUUGGUUUGGAAUAACACGGGGAAACUUGUGCUAAUACCGAAUAAGCCCUUACGGGGAAAGUUUUAAUGCCGAAAGAUGAGCCCGCACUUGAUUAGCUAGUUGGUAAGGUAAAAGCUUACCAAGGCAACGAUCAAUAGCUGUUCUUAGAGGAAGACCAGCCACAUUGGGACUGAGACACGGCCCAGACUCCUACGGGAGGCAGCAGUGGGGAAUCUUGCACAAUGGGGGAAACCCUGAUGCAGCGAUGCCGCGUGAGUGAAGAAGGCCCUUGGGUUGUAAAACUCUUUCGUCGGGGAAGAAAAUGACUGUACCCGAAUAAGAAGGUCCGGCUAACUUCGUGCCAGCAGCCGCGGUAAUACGAAGGGACCUAGCGUAGUUCGGAAUUACUGGGCUUAAAGAGCUCGUAGGUGGUUAAAAAAGUUGAUGGUGAAAUCCCAAGGCUUAACCUUGGAACUGCCAUCAAAACUUUUUAGCUAGAGUGUGAUAGAGGUAAGUGGAAUUUCUAGUGUAGAGGUGAAAUUCGUAGAUAUUAGAAAGAACACCAAAUGCGAAGGCAACUUACUGGGUCACUACUGACACUGAGGAGCGAAAGCAUGGGUAGCGAAGAGGAUUAGA